CCUACGGGUGGCAGCAGUGAGGAAUAUUGGUCAAUGGACGAGAGUCUGAACCAGCCAAGUAGCGUGAAGGAUGACUGCCCUAUGGGUUGUAAACUUCUUUUAUAUGGGAAUAAAAUGUUCCACGUGUGGGAUUUUGUAUGUACCAUCUGAAUAAGGAUCGGCUAACUCCGUGCCAGCAGCCGCGGUAAUACGGAGGAUCCGAGCGUUAUCCGGAUUUAUUGGGUUUAAAGGGAGCAUAGGUGGAUUGUUAAGUCAGUUGUGAAAGUUUGCGGCUCAACCGUAAAAUUGCAGUUGAAACUGGCAGUCUUGAGUACAGUAGAGGUGGGCGGAAUUCGUGGUGUAGCGGUGAAAUGCUUAGAUAUCACGAAGAACUCCGAUUGCGAAGGCAGCUCACUGGACUGCAACUGACACUGAGGUUCGAAAGCGUGGGUAGCAAACAGGAUUAGAUACCCGGGUAGUC
rnacentral:rRNA from 1 species